CCUAAAAAUACGUCCCAGUUCAGAUUGCAGUCUGCAACUCGACUGCAUGAAGUCGGAAUCGCUAGUAAUCGCGGAUCAGCAUGCCGCGGUGAAUACGUUCCCGGGCCUUGUACACACCGCCCGUCACACCAUGAGAGUCGGGAACACCCGAAGUCCGUAGCCUAACCGCAAGGGGGGCGCGGCCGAAGGUGGGUUCGAUAAUUGGGGUGAAGUCGUAACAAGGUAGC
rnacentral:rRNA from 1 species